CGUCGUGAGACAGUUCGGUCCCUAUCCUUUGUGGGCGUAGGAGAUUUGAGGGAAGCUGCCCCUAGUACGAGAGGACCGGGGUGGACGAACCUAUGGUGUUCCGGUUGUCACGCCAGUGGCAUAGCCGGGUAGCUAUGUUCGGCAGGGAUAAGCGCUGAAAGCAUCUAAGCACGAAGCCCAUCCCAAGAUAAGAUCUCCCUGGACUUAGUCCCUGUAGGGCCCUGGAAGAUAACCAGGUUGAUAGGCCGGAAGUGUAAGCGCAGCGAUGUGUUGAGCUUACCGGUACUAAUAGCCCGUGAGGCUUGGCCUU
rnacentral:rRNA from 1 species